CUGUUUUUGUCUCCCACUGUUAAUUUCAUUUAUUUUUCUCUUUCUUCCCCGACACAGACUGCCUUGUCUCUGUGCGCGGUUUUGUCACUGUUGUUAUUUGUCCGUACAUAGUUUAUCAUUGGCAAUGCAUUCAAUGGGAUUGUUGUACUCUGUGUUUGGGGAAGGAGGAUUUUUCAACAGAGACAACAUCGGGCAGCAGGAAGAAAAGCACUGGGCUGAGUUUCAGAGCCCCCUUUUCAAAGCCUAGCUCUGCGGAUACCUGCCAUCCCUCCCCGGCUCCUCACACAGCCCUUGGUUGAAGAGACCCUCUGCUUCUCCUGGCCCCCCUCGCCCUUACGGGAUACCUGGGUUGCAUGAGAGACCUUAAGGGCCGCUGUGCUGCCAGCUGUUGGCAAUAAAGAAAGUAGUAAAAAAAAAAAAAAAAAAGAAAAGAUUUUGGUCAAAUAGAAUAGUAAGGCGGUUUGGUUUUGUAGACAACACAUCAAAGAGACAGAGGGAUGGUAAUAAUAUUCUCAAACCAAAUGGGCAAAGGCAUUCCAGCACUUGGAUUCAGACAGAAGUUAGGAAAUGAGUUGGAGAGAAGUCAGAAGAAUAAGGGAGACAGUUACCCUUGGCCACGGCUGCACAUUUUGGAAGAGCCAGAGGCGACAGAAAGGACUGGAGAGAGACGGGGACAUUCUCCCUACCAGCCAGGAUCUGUCCAGUAUCGGGACGGGGGCCCAGCUUUUCCCUGCGAGUGACCGCUGGAGUGUCAGGAACAUCUUGGGAUGCUAACCCCAGAGGAGGACGCCUGGCGUUUGGAGAAGCCCUCGGGAAGUGGGCAGAUGGCAGGGGAUGGGGCCGAAAGCUGCAGGGUUCACAGCUCUGGGGAAGGCAGCGCACUGGGAUCUCGGCUGCGCUGAGACUGCCUUCCAGUUGGAGACGGAGCAGAAAGGCGUGAUUUGAAGUCAUAUAAACUUGGAUUCAAAAUCCAGUUCCGAUAGCCACGGGCUGUGUGAUCCUGGGCAACUUACCCUCUCUCUUCUCUCUGAGUCAAAGUGAGAAUGUACAAGCUCGCCACUUACACAGCCUGAAGAUGGG
rnacentral:lncRNA from 12 species